rnacentral:rRNA from 1 species
UAGUCCACGCCGUAAACGAUGUCAACUAGGUGUAGGGGGUGUUGAUCCCUUCUGUGCCGCAGCUAACGCAUUAAGUUGACCGCCUGGGGAGUACGGUCGCAAGAUUAAAACUCAAAGAAAUUGACGGGGGCCCGCACAAGCGGUGGAGUAUGUGGUUUAAUUCGAUGCAACGCGAAGAACCUUACCUGGUCUUGACAUCCCAAGAAUUUCCUGGAAACAGGAAAGUGCUUUUCGGAGAACUUGGUGACAGGUGCUGCAUGGCUGUCGUCAGCUCGUGUCGUGAGAUGUUGGGUUAAGUCCCGCAACGAGCGCAACCCUUGCCUUUAGUUGCCAGCAGUUCGGCUGGGCACUCUAAAGGGACUGCCGGUGUCAAACCGGGAGGAAGGUGGGGAUGACGUCAAGUCCUCAUGGGCCUUUAUGACCAGGGGCUACACACGUACUACAAUGGGCCGGUACAAAGGGGCAGCGACACUGCGAAGUGAAGCGAAUCCCAUAAAGCCGGGU